rnacentral:rRNA from 1 species
GAUGAACGCUGGCGGCGUGCUUAAUACAUGCAAGUCGAACGAACAUUAAGAGUGCUUGCACUUUUAAUGUUAGUGGCGAACGGGUGAGUAAUACAUAGGCAACUUGCCCCAAGGACUGGGAUAACAGUUAGAAAUGACUGCUAAUACCGCAUAAGACCACAGCACCGCAUGGUGCAGGGGUAAAAACUCCGGUGGUAUGAGAUGGAUCCGCGUCUGAUUAGCUAGUUGGUAAGGUAACGGCUUACCAAGGCAACGAUCAGUAGCCGACCUGAGAGGGUGACCGGCCACAUUGGGACUGAGACACGGCCCAA